rnacentral:rRNA from 1 species
UAGUGGCGAACGGGUGAGUAACACGUGGGCAAUCUGCCCUUCACUCUGGGACAAGCCCUGGAAACGGGGUCUAAUACCGGAUAAUACUUUCUCCUGCAUGGGAGAGGGUUGAAAGCUCCGGCGGUGAAGGAUGAGCCCGCGGCCUAUCAGCUUGUUGGUGGGGUGAUGGCCUACCAAGGCGACGACGGGUAGCCGGCCUGAGAGGGCGACCGGCCACACUGGGACUGAGACACGGCCCAGACUCCUACGGGAGGCAGCAGUGGGGAAUAUUGCACAAUGGGCGGAAGCCUGAUGCAGCGACGCCGCGUGAGGGAUGACGGCCUUCGGGUUGUAAACCUCUUUCAGCAGGGAAGAAGCGUGAGUGACGGUACCUGCAGAAGAAGCGCCGGCUAACUACGUGCCAGCAGCCGCGGUAAUACGUAGGGCGCAAGCGUUGUCCGGAAUUAUUGGNCGUAAAGAGCUCGUAGGCGGCUUGUCGCNGUCGGAUGUGAAAGCCCGGGGCUUAANCCCCGGGUCUGCAUUCGAUACGGNCAGGCUAGAGUGUGGUAGGGGNAGAUCGGAAUUCCU